UACAGGGGGUGCAAACGUUGCUCGGAAUUAUUGGGCGUAAAGCGCGCGUAGGCGGCUACUUAAGUCGGAUGUGAAAGCCCCUGGCUCAACUGGGGAAGUGCACCCGAAACUGAGUAGCUAGAGUGCAAAAGAGGGUCGCGGAAUUCCCGGUGUAGAGGUGAAAUUCGUAGAUAUCGGGAGGAACAUCAGUGGCGAAGGCGGCUACCUGGCCCAAUACUGACACUCAGGUGCGACAGCGUGGGGAGCAAACAGG
rnacentral:rRNA from 1 species